GUGCUUUCUCCUGGGUCUGGGCGGCAUUGAGGUCGCAACGAGUUCCAAAUUAUCCUUGUGCCUCUCCUGUUGUGACUAAGUCGGUGUUCCCUGAGUGGCUGCAGCUCCCUGCGUGUGGAGGGAAGAAGCCUGUGCUGGAGAAUGGGAGGAAGGUCCCUGCUGGUUGCUGUGUCCUCGGUGGGCACAGAACUCUGGCCAGAUGGCUUGGACAGGGAGAACCACUGAAGUUGUCCUGGCCUUGCCAAGGUGUUUGAGCUGCCAAACCCAAACUGGUCCUGAUGAUGGAGGACUUAAGAAAUUACUCAAUCCAGCUAAAUGCUUUAAAAAGGGAGAUGGUUUGGUUAUAGAAAUAUUUCUGCCUGAGACUGGGAAGAGAUUGGGAAAAGUUAAACCCCCCAAUUCUGCAUAACAGCACAAGGAAUUUUUAAUUCUUUGCUUUUUUUUCCCUUCCUUUGAAUGGGUUUGUUUGUUUCCCCUUGGAGACGGCACACACAAUAGGCAGAUUUUCAAAUUAAGCCAUUUUUUCCCACUUUUAGUCUUCAAUGGAGCCCAGGUGCCAAUUGUUUGCUGCUUGGUUUCUGCCUUCCCUUUCCUGCCUACAGCUUAAGCCCUUUCUCUCCUUCCUGCUUUUUGGCCAUCACUGGUCAUGCAGAUGAUGCUGAUGCAGAUGGCUGAUAAAUAAUUAUCAAACAGCUUGGGAAUGGUCUGUAUCAGGUAUCAGUGACAUUAAAAGAUGCAGUAUAUGGACCAUCAACCAAUGAAUUUAGCAACAGUUGGAUAGUAACUAAUCAUCUUUCCUUUGAAGCCCUCUUCAUAGCAUAUUUCCUUAUAAAGGGAAAGCAUUUGGUUUUUCUUUUAAAAAAUACUACAAAUCACCAACAGCCAGCUUAAGCGAGCAUGGCAGACUGACAAAGACAUGGUAAUGUUUUUUCUUUUAAAUCCCUCACAAGCCCAUCCCCUACUGGGGAGGCAGCUCAGCGAGUUUCAGCCCUCAGCUGCCAUCCUGUGCUCAUGGAGAGCAACCUCUCCAGCUGUCCCAGCCUCAGGAAAGCACAGAAGAGGGCUUUACACAGAUCAGGGAUGAAGCUAGACCCAGGCUGGGCUCAGCUCAGUCACCAUGGCGCUGUCAGAGGCCUUAAACCCUUUUUCUAUCGGAUUGAUUGAUGGUGGUUGUGGUGCAGCCACUGUGUUGCUGUCAAUGUGCUCCCCUGCAGCCUAGCCUGACAUGGUGAGCAGGGGCUUGGGGUUCUGCCUCAUGUGUUAAACAUCAAACCAGAAGAUAAACAACAGAUAAAACCCCUGCCCUGCCACGUGUCUCACUGCACCACUGCUAUGAGAGGAGGGUGAAAGACCCAGUCAGUUUUAGCUCUGUAAAGAAGCUACAGAGCAGUGAUGAGUGCCUGAAUCACAUCCCCUGCAGCCAUCAGGGGAGUGAGGGCAGGGAAAAGGGCAGAGAAAGGGAAAUAAAAAAACAACAGAGCCACCAAGACUGGAGGAUGUGAGGAUGAAUCCAAAACUAUGUUCUUCAAGAACUGAAAGAACACAUUUCUUAAAACAAGACAUCCAAACUGGAAUGAGGGACUUGCACUCUUUCCAGAUCUUCCCAGCACCAUAACUCAUUAAAAAAAAAAAAAAAAAAAAAAGCCAUCUGUGGAAAUGGGAUGCUCCUUUAAGCCUGGCAGAGACUUUCUCCAGCACCACAAACCACCCUUCCUGUUGCUCUUCCUUUACCACUCAGGGCUGAGCCAUGGAGACCUGCUUCUUUAGUGUGUGUGUGUGUGUGUGUGUAUUUCAGGUUUUUUUUAAAACCAAGAAAAAAAUCAAUAUAUUUUAAAAAGAACCCCCAGAGCUUUGGGGAAGGUGGGCAUAAAUGUUAAACAAAACACAAAGAAAGACUGAGCUACUAAGGGAUCUUAGAGCAGCAGUGGUGGGGUGGGAGGGAAGAAAUAUAGCAGACAAAUUUAACACCAUUUAGGAGGGUUUAUGCACAGUGUUUUCAUUGCAAGCAGCAUUUAGAAGUGACAAUUCAGUGAUUUAUCAUAUCCCAGCACACUCCUUCCCUGUCAAAGUGAUAGGCAGAACCAGCAGAGCAGCUCUGAACACACUGUUCACUACAAGGCACCACCAACAAAUCCAGAACAGCUCCACCCUUGGCCAACCCUGUCCCCUUGGGCCUUCUGAGAAGCUGGGAUUUAGGAAAAGGCCUUGCAGGGGAACAGUGUUUCAAAUGUCAAAGGCUUUAAAAAUCUACAAGGCUAUGAAAGAACAUUUCAGGGUUUUUUUCAGCUGAUUGUUUAGGAAUUUACUUGGAAUAAGCUUCUUCCCCAAGAGGGAUUUCAAUUCUACACAUGCACAAAGAGGAGAAAACAUGAAUGCAGUGUUGAGACAGCUCCGUGCUGAGAGCAGUGGUUUUAAGGUAAGGCCCUUGUAUAUCUGGGAGGGUGAAACCUCUGUGUUCAACCCUCUGGGAUCAUUCACUUGGGCUUCCUGUGCUUCUCAAGCUCUCAAAGUAAAAUUGACCUACCAAACUCAUCUUUGUCUCAAUCCUAAUCCCUGCAUCAUCCUUUAGGUGUGUUUCCUCACAAUGAAAUUGGAGUAGAAAAUGCUUUAGGAGAUGCUUUGCAGCCCCUUCUUCCCCAAAGGCCCAAUCUGCUUUAAUUUUUAGGAAUGCUCUUCAAGCACAAGGUUUGGAUGCAGCCAGUGAGACUCACAUUUCAGAAGGACCAUCAAUGGCCUGAUAAAGACGCAGCACUUGCAAGCAGGCUGCUGGGACUGAGGAGGAUAUUUGAAAGCUGUUGACAUGCAGUUCUAGCAGAAGUGCAAAAUGAAAUGUAAUGUAGUAGAAGUGGAAAAUGAAAUGCUGUUAGACAAGGCUGCUGCCCAAAUUGGCUCUGCCUGGAUCCACCUGGCCUGCAGCACAGCCUUCUCCCUUUCUCCUCAGUGCCUUCUGCUCAGCACCAACCCAAACCUGGGCUAUUUCAAUUCCUGUCAGACACAGAGCAGCUGAUGGGCAGCAAAUGCAGCCUUCCCAAAGUGGCUGCCCAUGGCCCGGCCUGCAGGGCAGAGCUCAGGGAGGAGGUGGCAGCUUCCUCAGUGGCUUUUCAUGUCCUCUCUCUGCCAUGCAGACACUGGCAUGCAUGGCACGGCUCUGUUUUGGCAGCCGGUCCAUUGGCAGGGCUGGGUGAGCACAGGGUGAGCACAGGGUGAACUCUCUGCUCCUUGCUGUGACACCUGGGCUGGCAGGGAUGACACAGUGACCUCGGCCAGCCGGCGCUGCCUGUGCCAUCACCUGGCACUGACGUGUUUGAUGAGAAUCCUUUGCUGGGAUUUUUCUCCUGAGAAGCCUCAGAACAGAAAUGGAACCAGUAACAAUCUGCUGGCUGUGGAGUGUGGGCUGGAGAUGGUUUAGCAACAGGGGCAUCUUGGAUUGGUCUCCUGUGCAUUGUUUCUACUUGAUAACCAAUCAUGGUCCAGCUGUGUCGGGGCUGUGAGCAGUCCCAGGUUUUUAUUAUUCAUUCCUUUCCAGCUUUCUGAUGUCUCCUUGCUCUUUUAGUAUAGUUCUACUAUCUCAUUUUCUUUUAAUAUAAUAGAGAUCAUAAAAUAAUAUUUCAGCCUUCUGAAA